CCUGAUCCAGCCAUGCCGCGUGUGUGAAGAAGGCCCUCGGGUUGUAAAGCACUUUCAGCGAGGAAGAACGCCUAUCGGUUAAUACCCAGUAGGAAAGACAUCACUCGCAGAAGAAGCACCGGCUAACUCCGUGCCAGCAGCCGCGGUAAUACGGAGGGUGCAAGCGUUAAUCGGAAUUACUGGGCGUAAAGCGCGCGUAGGUGGCUUGAUAAGCCGGUUGUGAAAGCCCCGGGCUCAACCUGGGAACGGCAUCCGGAACUGUCAGGCUAGAGUGCAGGAGAGGAAGGUAGAAUUCCCGGUGUAGCGGUGAAAUGCGUAGAGAUCGGGAGGAAUACCAGUGGCGAAGGCGGCCUUCUGGACUGACACUGACACUGAGGUGCGAAAGCGUGGGUAGCAAACAGGAUUAGAUACCCUGGUAGUCCACGCCGUAAACGAUGUCGACCAGCCGUUGGGUGCCUAGAGCACUUUGUGGCGAAGUUAACGCGAUAAGUCGACCGCCUGGG
rnacentral:rRNA from 1 species